UAGGAAUCAAGGAAACACAUUUUCGAAGAUGGGAAGGGCCUUCAUCUUAAUUGUUUUCCUGGCGUGCUGCAUAUCGGCAUCUUUUUCACUCCCACAGGGAAUCGGCAAUCUCUCAGCGAGAUGGAAUGACGAAAAUCACUGGUGUCCAAGCGGAAUGUGUCAGAGCGACAGCGACUGCGGCGACUUGUGUGUGUGUGCUACGCAGACCAACACAAACAGAAAAUUCUGCGUAUAUCUACCAAGCGGAAAAUAAUGUAUUACAACAAAAGAAGCCUGCCACUUGUCUGAAGCCUAUCCUGUGGAGUGCUAAAAUUUCGCAUGCUAAUAUAAUACGUUGCUAUUGCUAAGGCUCGACAGAGCUCGUCUUGUACCGAGCAACGGUGAAGAAAGUUUUAACGAAAAUUGGGGCUUUUAAUGCGGAUAACUUCUACGUUCGGCUUAAAUAAAAUGUGUGCGCACU